rnacentral:rRNA from 1 species
ACUCAAAGGAAUUGACGGGGACCUGCACAAGCGGUGGAUUAUGUGGUUUAAUUCGAUAGUACACGAGAAACCUUACCAGGGCUUGAAAUCCUUCGAAUGCCGAGUAAUUUUGGCAGUGCCGCAAGGAGCGAGGAGACAGGUGCUGCAUGGUCGUCGUCAGCUCGUGUCGUGAGAUGUUCGGUUAAGUCCGGAAACGAGCGCAACCCCUGUGCUGUGUUAUAUUUGUCACAGCAGACUGCCAGUGUUAAACUGGAGGAAGGCGGGGAUGACGUCAGAUCAGCAUGGCCCUUACGUCCUGGGCUACACACAUAAUACAAUGGACGGUACAGCGGGCAGCUAAAUCGUAAGAUGGAGCCAAUCCCACAAAACCGUUCUCAGUUCAGAUUGUGGUCUGCAACCCGACCACAUGAAGUCGGAAUCGCUAGUAAACGCACAUCAUCAGGGUGCGUUGAAUACGUUCUCUGGUCUUGCACACACCGCCCGU